CCUACGGGAGGCAGCAGUAGGGAAUUUUCGGCAAUGGGGGGAACCCUGACCGAGCAACGCCGCGUGAAGGAAGAAGGAAUUCGUUCUGUAAACUUCUGUUAUAAAGGAAGAAAGACGGAUGGAGGAAAUGACAUCCGAGUUACUGUACUUUAUGAGAAAGCCACGGCUAACUACGUACCAGCCGCCGCGGUAAUACGUAGGUGGCAAGCGUUGUCCGGUAUUAUUUGGCGUAAGGAGGGAGCAGGGGGCAUCAAAGGGCUGUGUGGAAGGACUGGAGCUUAACUUCAGUAAGCCAUAGAAACCGGGAGGCUAGAGUGCAGGAGAGGAUGGUGGAAUGCCAUGUGUAGCGGUGAAAUGCGUAGAUAUAUGGAGGAACACCGAUGGCGAAGGCGACGUGCUAGCCUGCAACUGACGCUGAGGCCCGAAAGCGUGGGGAGCAAAUAGGAUUAGAUACCCUUGUAGUC
rnacentral:rRNA from 1 species